CCCCACCCCCAGUGGGAGGAGUCGCCGCCACCGAGCCUGAGGGGAGGGGGAGGAGAGAGCCACUCCCCAGACGCGGCGCCUUACUGCCGCCACCGUUACCGCGGAAUUCAAAAUGGCGGCUCCAGCAAACCCCACCAUCCCCAGCCCCUACAGCGGAAAGGCUCCGCCCACGUGGGCGGAGUAACUCACGCGGGCGGAGUAAGCCUGCCUUCUUGGAGAAACUGACCAAUGGAAACGCCACAUCGACCCAGGGUGGUGCUGGUCACUAAGCCAGCCAGUCCUGCGGAGGAAGGGGGAGGGAGGAUUCCAGCUGUCUCCCUAGUACCGUCUCCUUUGCGUCAGAGGCCAAUGACCAAGUGACGUCAGUGAAAAGCAAUUCAGAUGGGGAUUUUACUAAUAAAACUUCGCAGGAUCUGAUAAUGGUGAAUUCGCUUGGAUAAUCGCUCUGAAGACUAUUUUGUAAUUUCUCAUCAGAUGCUUAAAGCGCAAAUGGUGAUUUGUAAUCCUUUCUAGUAUUUUUUUUCUUUAGGUAUUUGUCUCUGGUGAAGAAAGUUCAAUAACUAGUUUUUGAAUGACUGCUAUGAAACUGGCAGCGUAAGAGAUCUGGUCGACAGGGGAUAUACCAACGGCCAAGACAGGAGGCAAUGUACACAGAAGAUAAGGAAACAGAAGCAAAGAGGUUAAGCAAGAGACACCCAGCUAUUAAGUAGCAGUGUAGGAAGCACACUGAAGAAGUCUGACUCCCUGUUCCACCCAAACCCAAACAAACCCCAAAGUUUUAGUACUAUAACCUACCUUUCACAAGGUUAGUGUCUCCGUCUGUGGUCCCUGGGCUACUGUUGUUGCCUGGAUGUCUUAUCAAGAAGCCCACAUGGUUUGGCAAUCUCAGAGAAAAACAAUCAACCAAUAAUAUUCAGAAAUGUGGCCCCACCCAUUCAGAUGGGUCUUUGAUUUAAUCACUGGAGUCCAAUAUAAGAGCUCAAGCAGAAGGAGCUUGCAGCUGCAGCUUACAGAGGCAUUUUGAAGAUGGCUGUUGAAAGGUGAUGCUGACAUUUUGGAGAAUGCCAUUUUGAAACACAACCUGGGAGCAAGCAGACACCAGCCAUGUGCCUUCCAAGCUAA